UAUGUCCAUCUACCGAAGGAGUGACCUAUAGCACGUGCAUGGGACUCGAGGCACCUUGUUUGUGUGAACUCUGCUUGCUUAACUCCCAAGCGACCCCACUUCAUUCCCGGUAAUGCUGGAGAAGAAUCUCUGAAAUUAAUCCAUAACGUGUGAGAAUCACAGUCUAGAAUCCCGUCAUUAUCUCCUAAGAAGACAGUGUCUGGUCCCGAACAGAAAAAGACAACAGGCAGAUACCAGUGAGUCUCCCGCCUCUCGCCUUCCAGCGUAAUCCAGACCUUGGCUGUUAUAACCCUCACUGCUGCUGCUCCACUACCGGCCACGAUUUCCCUCACCCGACGUGCCGCAAAAGCCUGCUGACCGGUCUGUGUGCUUCUCCUUGUGACCUUCCAAUGGUCUGUUGUAACCACAGGAGCCAAAAUGAUUCUUUUUAAGUCACGGAAAAUCCAGUGGCUUCCUUUCUUGCCCAAAGUAACAAGUCGUCGUCGUCGUGAGCCACCAGUGUCCCCAGGCUCCUCUCUGAUCUCAGGUUCUACCUCCGACCCCUUCCAUCGGCCACACUGGCCUCACUGUUCUUCCUCAAACACACCUCAUGGACUUCUGUUCACUCUGCCUGCCGUGCCUCUUUGUGAAAUAUGCACAUGGCUUUCUUUGUGACCUCUCCUCUGCCCUGGCACGUCACCUUCUCAGAGAGCCCUUCCUUGGCCAUCUUCUAAGAAGUCCUCCCUGUCCUGUUCUUCAUUCUGUCUCUCUACCCUGCUUUAUUUUUCUUCUAAUAAUUGCCGCUAGUAUAUAAGAUCUUGGAAAGCAGGACUUGGUGUAUUUUAUUCAUUGCCAUGCCCCCGAUACUUAGCCCAUUAAUAAUGUUCGUUGAUGAAUAAAUGUUCAAAAUCA